rnacentral:rRNA from 1 species
CGUAUAUUAAAGUUGUUGCAGUUAAAAAGCUCGUAGUUGGAUUUGUGGUCUGUGGUGUGUUCCGGGCACUCGUGUCCGAGUAACUCGCCGCUGCCAUCCCUGGGUGGAACCUGUGUGGCAUUAGGUUGUCGGGCAGGGGAUGCCCAUCUUUUACUGUGAAAAAAUUAGAGUGUUCAAAGCAGGCUUAUGCCGUUGAAUAUAUUAGCAUGGAAUAAUGAGAUAGGACCUUGGUACUAUUUUGUUGGUUUGCGCACCGAGGUAAUGAUUAAUAGGGACAGUUGGGGG